rnacentral:lncRNA from 1 species
AUUCCUGCUUGUGGCCCGCGCAGGGGCGGGGUCGGAAGGUCUAGGCCGGGCGCGGAGCGAGGAAGCGGGUGGCGCUGGGACGCAUGCUCUGGGGGAGAUGAGUAUAAUGACCCGCGUUUGUCCGCCGCCCGUGCCCCGCUCAAUCCCCGCAUCAAUCCCGUGAGGCCGUUUCUCCCGUUGGCUCCACUGUACCGGGGGCUGAGGCCCAGGGAGGUCUCGCGGCUCCCUAGGUUAUCCAGCUAGUAAGAGGCGAAGCUGGAAUUCUCACUGUGGGCCCAUUCCAUGGCUUUUGCCAGAGCGCCAGGGACACACUCAGUUCACCUUCUAGCAGGGAAGACCCAAAGAUGCGCGCCCCUGGCAGCCAGGGCGUCGGACCAGGCAAUUCCUACUGUCCAGCAUCACCUCCUCCAGGCCUCUCGGAUGCCUCUGUUGGGACAGCUAAGUUCCUCUUCAAAGACUCAAUUUCCUGGUCAUAAGCUGUAAACAGAUUCUACUCCCGCUUUUUCUUCUUUGUCGCACGUCUACCCUAUUUGGGAAAGUUUAAACCUUAGCCAAUCGGGAUCAGCUCAGAUUGUGCGGUCCAACCCCCCAGCCAAUGGGGAAAGGACACAGAAACAGGAACUGCGUUAGGGUUAAAAACCACUUCCCUCCUUUGUUGGCGGGUGCUCUUGGGAUUGCAACCAGCGCAAGCAGCACCCUUCUGCAGAAGUAAAGAUGCCUUGCUGGGAAGUCUUCUGUCUCAGUGCUGGUUUUUCUUGACUACACUGAGCACUUGUUUUCAACAAAUUUGAGGGUCUUCUGGGAUCCCAUUCUCCUUUGGGAGGGGUAGCGAUUACUUUUCCUCGUGAGACACGUCCCACUGCCUUGUUGCAGUGGCCCAAGGAGCGGAGGAUCGGGUCCACCCAAAGUGAGGAAUAAAUCCGGACUUUCAGCAACGUGGGCAGGAAGGAGCCUUAAAAUUCCCAGGCAAGUGGGUAACUCUGUGCACAGACCAAGCCGCCGACGGGACCAUCACAAAAGCUUUACAAGGCCUUACCACCCUGGCAAAUGAAUUAGCCGAAAAUUCUGGACUAGAUAACCCUUUUAUGGGUCUCAUGGAAAAGUGGUUUGGAAAAUGGAAAGGACUCCUGGCUUCAAUCUUUACCUCUCUUGCAAUUGUAACAAGUGUACUUAUCCUUGUGGGCUGCCGCAUCAUACCUUGUAUUCGUGGGUUAACUCAAAGGCUCAUAGAAACAGCCCUCACUAAAGCCUUCCUCUCUUCUCUCCCUCCAUACUUGGACAAGCUCUUGCUCCUGGAUAAUCAAGAAGAACAACGAAGCCAAAUCCUGUUAAAAUUUUUUGCAGAGGAAGAAGUAUCAAAUAGAAGAGAGGAAAUUGUUGGGACAGCUAAGCUCUUCAAAGACUCAACUUCCUGGUCAUAAACUUCUCCCCGUUUUUCUUCUUUUUCGCCAGUCUACCCUGUUUGGGAAAGUUUAAACCUUAGCCAGUCGGGAUCAGCUCAGAUUGUGCAGUCCAUCCCCAGUCAAUGGGGAAAGGACACAGAAACAGGAACUGCGUUAGGGUUAAAAAGCCCUUCUCUCCUUUGUUUGGGGUGCUCUUGCGAUUACAAGCUGCGCAAGUAGCACCGUUCUGAAGUAAAGAUGCCUUGCUGGGAAA